GUUAAACUUUUCAUUACAUAAAAAAAUAAAAGGACAAUGUAGUUAUAUAGUCAUUUAAGAGCACAAUAAAAAAUUUAAAAAAAAUGGAAGGGGAUAUAUUUGAAAACCAGAACCAUGCUUUUGAAGUAGAGUUAUAUGAAAACCAGAAUUAUGCUUGCAUGCUCACAGUGGUAGGAGAAGAUUCAACAACAUUUAUGAAGUAGAACUUACUGAAGAGAUUAAACUGCAUUGUACCAUUACUAAACUGACGAAAAGAUUAGCAUUAGAAGUGUCUUCAGUCUCUUCACUGUACACAACCAAAUGUUUUACAUAAUUUUUGACCGAUUAUGGAGGGGCGCCUGUCCACUCCAAUAAGGACACGACACUUGUCAAUUCGAUCAUCUAUUUGGUAAAUGAUUUGGUACAUAUAGCAUCUUCCUUACAAAAUAAGUUGUAUUCAUCAAAAUGUAUCAUUUAUUAGCUAACUCUCAUACAUGCUGUGACUGACCAUGACACCCUGACCAAUCUCCCUGAACAUUUUUACAACUUCAAAACUCUCAAUCAUGUAGCAAAUUCUGUUGAUCUUUGAGCCAAAGAUAAUAUUUCAGUUAUAUUUUAUAGUCUGGAAAUAAAAUAAAAAAGAAAGAACAAGUAAUGGACAGAUUGAAUAUUUACCUUGAAAAGAAUUUAAUUGCUUUCUUAGUUCUUUAAUAAAGUGAAUAAGAAGUUGGUAUAUUUAGUGUAUUGGAAGUAAACUAAAUUACAACCUGAAUGAUAUGAGUAAAAUCACCUUCACGAUCUGCACUGGUAGCAUCGUGAGUAUAUUUCUUCAUGGUAACACUGUGAAGUGAACAACUAAUAAUCCAAACUAAGAAGCAAAAGACACACUCUAUAACAAUAUACUUAUGGAAUUUAAGAACAUGUAUGAUAUCAGAAACAAUACAGGUACUCAUUUUCAAUUCUUUAGGAUGAAUGGAAGAAGGCAAAUAAUACAAAACAAAAUUAGAAAACACAUGAAAGUUGAUUAAAUAAACAUUGCCAAAGAGAAAAUGCAUGACCUAACUGAUAUCUAAUGUAAAAUAUUCCAAUAAUUAUAUUAACACAUGAGUUAUUCUACGACAUUCAUAUGCUUUAAACUUCCAUUUACUAACUUAAUGAUAAAUUUUUAAAAACAUGGCAUAAUUCUAACUACAAGAAGCUAUAUUGUAUAAGAUGCAUUUGUAUUUAUUGAAGCAACAUAAAAAACAUAAAUUCAAACCAUUUGCAAAAUGUUGCAAGCACAUAGAAAUGGUUAAUUGAUAUGUAUUAAAUUCGAUAUUUCAUGAUAAACAAUAUUUUUGGCGCAACAAGUAUGUGAUUUAUUUUUGAUAGAAGGUUUAAUCAAAACUUUUAUAUUUUCUCUUGUUGUAGCCUUGGACAAUGAGACGUACAAUUGAUCAUAUGAAAAUACAGAUUCAGGAAGAUAUAAGCCAAUAAAAUCUAGAUUUUGACCUUGAGCUUUGUUAAUAGUCAUCGCAAAAUAAGGACGAACUAAAAACUGAGUUCUUUUAAAUGGUAUUUACUGUUUGUCAACUUUUAGUGGAAUGAAUGGAAUUUUAGGUAAAAAUACUUGUUUUCCAGUUUCUUUAUUAUCUCCCUGGUUUCUUUAUUUAUUUGGUGGGAAAAAAAUUUGCCAAUUUUUUUAAUCUCCCUAGUUUCUUCAUACCAAAGAGAGAAUACUCUAUAUAUUUCAAGAAUUAUCCAAACGGUGGAAAGAGGGAUUCUCACAAAAUUCCAUUCAGUUACAGUCGAGGUAUAAAUUGUAAGUGCUGGGUUUGAAAUCGACGAGAUUUUCGUGGAAAAAAAAAAGAAAGAAAAGAAAGCUGUGGCGAACUAAAAGAGAGAGGCUACUACUAACUCUUUGUAUAGAAUACUCAACAUUUUUCUUUCAACAUCCAAAAUUUCAUUUGUAAGCAACCCACCGAAUAAAUUUCUCUAAAGAGACGGUUCCACUUUUUUUUUGUUUUUACACUUCAAGACCUUAUAUGAGACUACCUAAAGGAAAAAACCCAUACCUUAGUACAUACAUACACACACAUGUAUAUAGAGAGGAAAAAAUCACAAAUCAUCACACAUCAUCUCACCAAAAUACAGAUUCAGACAAGCAUCACAACUGAAACAGAAACAACAGAUCAGUUUAAGCAUUAAGAAACAUCAGCAAUAUAAAUGAAACCCAAUCUUUAACAAGUAAUUUGUUAUUGGAGACAUUCCUUCAACAAAUUUCAGAUUGAAAGAACGUUUAUGAAAGGAAAAGAAUAAAAAAAAGAAUGAAAACUUCCCUUUACUUUUGAACACGAAACAUGUAAACUGAUUUUUUCUACAUGAUUUCUGAAACGAGAAAUAAAGUUGAGAAUACCAUAAAGUCCUUAUAUUCCCAAAAUCCCAGACGAGAAGAAGAAAAACUCCACAUGCUUAAAGACACAACUUCAAAUCAUCACCUCAUAAAAAAAACUCACGAUUUUGAAAAAUAUAACAGAUAUUAGAUUUUGCACAAAUGUAAAAUGACGCAGCAUAAACAACAACCAUGUAUAGUAAACCAAUAAUAAUUCACCUGUAAAAAAGGAUGAAACCCUAAAAGAUCAAAACCCUACAUCCUCAAGCCCAAUCUGGAAAAGAAAAAGAAGCAAUGCUGUUUAGUUUAUCCACAGGAAAAAAAAUAACUACCAAAGGCUAAACUGUUAAAAAAAAAAACGAAAAAAACAAAAGAAGAAGAAGAAGGUAUCAAAAAUAAACAUUCGGUAUUAUGAAAUAUUUAUACAAGAACUUUGUCUAAGACAUUAAUCAUGAUAGUCAUUUCGAAGAAAAAAUUAAUAUUUAUUUGAAAUAAAAUUUUAUAAAAUUAGGAAGAAAAGAGAAGUAUAGUCUAUACAGUUAAAAAUUCAAAUAAACAUAGAAUACCAAGCAGAAAAUGAACUACUUUUAUCAAUUAGUCAUUAGCUUCAAAUGUUACAGAUUCUUAUCUAAUCAAAUUUUUAUUAACUAUGAUUAUUUGCCAAUAAAUAAAUUUUGAGUUUUAGGAGCCAAUUCAUUUUGGGAGUGAAAUUAAUAAAUCAACAAUGGCAAUGGCAACUUUCUCCUCCAAUUACAAUCCAUUUGUAUGCUGUACCACAGGUGACUUGUGAACAAAUUUGCUUUCAAUCUCACAAUCACAACACAGGAUCUGAUCUGAUGAGCUAGGAGAUAAGUUUAGUUACACUUCAAAUAAUAGAUAAAUGAUUUGAUAAUCUCAUUUAAAAGGAAUCUGGAUACGGCAAAAAUUGGAAUAUUGACAAAUAAAUUUUGCAAAUAAUAGUCCUCUCAACAAAAACACAACAAAAACCUUAAAAUCAUGGAUCUUGAACAAUAUUGAACCCAAAUUCCAAAGAAAAGAAGAAGAUGGAAUUUCUAGAGUUUUCUAACCAAGAAAAAAAAAUAUCGCCACACAAAGAGAGUAAAGUGAGUGAGAGGAAAUAAUAAUAAUAAAAAAGAGAAUUAUGUGCCUUCACUUGAAAAAAAAAAUGGAUUUUCAAAAAUCUUGAACCCAAAUGUCAAAGACAAGAAGAAGAUAGAAUUUUUAGAUUUUUCCAACAACAACAAUCGUCAAAGCUGAUGAGAGUGUUUUAAAAGUGAGAGGAAAUAAUUGCAGAAAGAGAGAUGGG
rnacentral:lncRNA from 1 species